UGUUAGACUAACUUUUCAAGACUAUUGGUAUAAUGAACAGCCUUGGAAGGUGACAGUGUCUACCUCCAAAGCAAAGGGCAGUUCUGUUUGCUCUUCAAUAUAAUAAAGUUAAUGUCUCUCUCGAAGGCAAAGGUUGGGCAGAUUCUUUGUAGUCCUUUAUAAAAGACAAGUUUCUUAUGCUUGGUGUUCCCCAGCUGUCAUGCAAAUGCACUGCAUGUGCUACAUUCGUGGGACCUAUUGCAAGCUGCCUCCCCUCCUCUGUGGACUUCAGGAGAAUGAGAAAAUGCCUGUGACAAGGAUAGACACAGAAACCUAGGGUUGACAAACACAGAAGGAUUAUGACUGGACGAUAUAAGAUAAGGGAGACUGGAGGAGAAGAAUUUCAAUAGGAUCACAUAAGUGAGUACAUUUUUUUGUGUAUUUUUUAUGUUACAGGUUAUUACCUAUCAGAGCACAUUUGCCUCAGAGACGAUAUCCCACAAUCAAUUGCCAGAAGAAAGCUUGGUUGAGUCAUCAGGAAACUGAGACAAGAAUAUGGGUAAACAGAGAUAAGUUUAGUAAAGCAAAAUGGCUUUUACUGUAUUUUUUAUUUUUAUUUUUUAUUUUAAAUGGAGUAUUGCUCUGUUGCCCAGGCUAGAGUGCAGUGGUGUAAUCUCGGUUCAC
rnacentral:lncRNA from 10 species